CAAAGCAUGGCAGCUGUUAUUACUCAGUACUAUAGGAAACUGAAACUCACAGCAAUUGUUACCUCAGUACCAGUACUGAAUGUCCUUCUUCCUGUUCUUCAUCUACUAGGUGUUCACAGUCCAAGAGCUUCUGUUGAUACUGAAUCUUAGUGUUCUUCAAAUCCCGAGACAUGACAGACUGGUUUGGAGCAUGUUUAUGACAUCUCAAAUUUUCUAUAUUCUAAUCUAGGCAGGAAACCUCCAGUCUCAAGGGGAAAAAAAAAUGUGUAAGGUAGCAGAAUUUCAGGUCUCCAGAUAAAAGUGCAGGGGCUUGAGAGCCUUCUCAGAGGAAUGGAGGGGUCUUUUCCACACAAGGCUGUUCCUCUCACUGUUCCAACUCAAAAUCUUCCAAAACUGGUCAACAGGACUAGGCCAGAUGGUUAAGUAGAGCUCUACUGUUUCAGAAAAUACUGAGCCUGGUUUGUAUUCCAGACAGUAAAAUGAAACACGAGGUGAAAGGGAGGGAGGAAAAGGGGAGGAAGUACUGGCUGAUUGUUUGUUAUGUAGAUUUGUUGGAAACACUCAAAAACACUUCCACUAUUUCGCAGUGGUUAGAACUAAUAGCUUUGCCCCACUUGGAUGUAAGGGAGGUUGAGAAUGACAGCCUUUAUUCCAGGCAUCUCUGUGACAAGAUACAAACUGGCAUUUCUGUGACUAAUGGAGUGAGGAGGGAUGUGACAGAGUUCUGAUAGGCAGUGGCAGUCUCUGCUACAAGAGCCUACUAUGUGCCAGGCACUGGUGAAAGGACCGCACAUCAAAACAAAAAUCUCUGCCAGAGCAGGGCUGAUUGUCCAGGAGUGCAGAUCUUAAAGAAAGUGAGUAAAUGAAGCAAAAGGGGAUAGUUGGGGUGGAAGAAAUGCAGGAUGUCAUCAGAGCCUCUUUCUGUGCAAAAUUCCACUACAUAGAGACAUUGAGGAGGGCAUGCAGAUGAGGAAGGGGGAUGAUGGUGGCAGGAGUCUGUACCAGUUCCUGCAGAGGCUCAUGCUAAACAGAGGCUGAAAACCAAGCAGUGUGAGUAGAGCUUUGAUACUGGGUAACACUGGGUACAUGCAGGCAGUACAUCAAGCACAGGCAUGGAAGCCACAUCUUAAAUGCACAUUUUAUCUUUAAGGCAAAAGGAGCUCAUUGAGCAUUUUGAUAAUGGCUGUGAUAGGAUGGCUUGUUCACUGCAGAAUGAUCUUUCCAACUAUAGAGAGAGGGGUUAUGCAGAAGAAAACAAAACCAUGGAGAAACAGACAGCAUAAUUGAGAAUGUCACCUAUUUCUGGGGUUGACAACCAGGAAAGAUGACUAAUACCGAUAAUCCAGAGGGAUGUCCAGCAAUGGAUGAUGGGUACUGGUCCUUAGAUUAGUAAUAUUUUCUGGUGUUGUUAUAUCCCAGGAUUUCCUGGAUUAUCCUGGGCCCUUUAGAUUUCACUAUUAACUUUAGGAUGCCACUUGUCACAAAAGACCAGACAGGGUUGCUGUGCAUGAAAUUAUACUAAAGCUACAGAUCAUUUUAUUUUUUUAAAUUUUUUAUUGGAGUUCAAUUUUCCAACAUAUAGCAUAACACCCAGUGUUCAUCCCACCAAGUGCCCCCUUCAUUGCCCAUCACCCAGUCCUCCCAACCCCCCGCCCACUUCCCCUUCCACUACCCCUUGUUCAUUUCCCAGAGUUAGGUGUCUCUCAUGUUUACUACAGAUAAUUUUAGGAGGGAUUAUCAUCUCUUCAAUCUUUCAAUCCAUACAAGUCUGAAACCUAAAUGUGUAAUAUUUUGCCAUGUAUUUAAAUGUUCACUGAUUUUCCUAAAUAAUAUCAUGUCAUCCUUUGUGUACAGAAUGUGCCCGUCUUUUGUUAGAUUUGCAUAAGAUAUAUCUUCUAGUUAUACCAUCCCCAGGUAGAUCCCUAGAUACAUUACUUUCAUUUUGUAAGUGGUAUCAUUCUUUAAAUAAUUUUAUCACCAUUGUUUGUUGCAGGUAUUAUAAAAAUAAAAUUGAUUUUUGUAUAU
rnacentral:lncRNA from 1 species